ACUCCUACGGGAGGCAGCAGUGGGGAAUAUUGCGCAAUGGCCGCAAGGCUGACGCAGCGACGCCGCGUGUGGGAGGACGCCUUUCGGGGUGUAAACCACUGUUGCCCGGGACGAACAACUGACAUUGGUCAGUCUGACGGUACCGGGUGAGGAAGCACCGGCUAACUCCGUGCCAGCAGCCGCGGUAAUACGGAGGGUGCGAGCGUUGUCCGGAAUCACUGGGCGUAAAGGGCGCGUAGGCGGUGCGGUAAGCGUGCGGUGAAAGCUCGGGGCUCAACCCCGAGUCGGCCGUGCGAACUGCUGGACUGGAGCAUGUCAGAGGCGGGUGGAAUUCCGGGUGUAGCGGUGGAAUGCGUAGAGAUCCGGAAGAACACCGGUGGCGAAGGCGGCCCGCUGGGACAUAGCUGACGCUGAGGCGCGACAGCGUGGGGAGCAAACAGGAUUAGAUACCCUGGUAGUCCACGCCGUAAACGAUGGGUACUAGGUGCUUGGGGGGAGCGACCCCCUGGGUGCCGGCGCUAACGCAUUAAGUACCCCGCCUGUGGAGUACGACCGCAAGGUUGAAACUCAAAGGAAUUGACGGGGGCC
rnacentral:rRNA from 1 species